rnacentral:rRNA from 2 species
UGAUUUAAGUUCACCGACAUUGAUCAUCGGAUCCCAUCAGAACUCCGCAGUUAAGUGUGCUUGGGCGAGAGUAGUACUAGGAUGGGUGACCUCCCAAGAAGUCUUCGUGUUGCACCCC